rnacentral:lncRNA from 1 species
UAAUUACCAUGCUGCCUUUCCUAUUCCCAUUUCAUCCUUUUGAUAGUGUGAAACGCCUCUUGUGCCAUGAUGAUGUUGUCUUGGAUGAGUCUUCUAGGGACAAAGGCAUAUUGGGUUAGAGAUAUUGUCUCAGGUAAGAUUGGUUUUAGUCUUGAAACAAUAAUUCUUACAAUGAAUUCAUAGAUGAAAUUACAACACCAUAUUAGUAUGUGUAAAAUCGAGAAAGAGGAAAAGAGGGAAAAGAGAAAGAAAACAAUGGUUAUUAGUAAGGUUUCUAUAGUUUUGUGGCAGUCGUGAGAAAUUAGAAGAAAAGAGAGAAAAGUAAAAGAAAAUAAAGAGGAGAAGAGAGAAUAAUAGUUUGAAUAUAUUUCAAUCUAUAUACACACCUUAAUACAUAACCUAAUUAUACUAGUAGACAUACAUACAAAGAAUGAAAGUCAAAGAUUAUACGCUCUAAUUAUGUGCUAGUCAGUCCCUAAAAU